rnacentral:rRNA from 1 species
CGGUUCCGUACGUACGUCGUCGGUUCGUACGUGAGAUGUUGGGUUAAGUCCCGCAACGAGCGCAACCCCUAUUGUUGGUUGCCAUCAUUCAGUUGGGCACUCUAGCGAGACUGCCGGUAAUAAACCGGAGGAAGGUGGGGAUGACGUCAAAUCAUCAUGCCCCUUAUGACCUGGGCUACACACGUGCUACAAUGGUUGGUACAACGAGUUGCGAGUCGGUGACGGCGAGCUAAUCUCUUAAAGCCAAUCUCAGUUCGGAUUGUAGGCCGCAACUCGCCUACAUGAAGUCGGAAUCGCUAGUAAUCGCGGAUCAGCACGCCGCGGUGAAUACGUUCCCGGGCCUU